AUUCACGAACUAGAGGGAGCCAACAUGGCCGAAUGAAGGGCUUGGUUUCGUGGAGCCUCCUCCAGGCCCGCCCACCCAUGAGUCAGAGGAUUUUGCGAGGUCUACUAGAAUGACAGCUCAAACCUGUCCACGUCAACACCAGAGAACCACUAUGGAGAUCGCGUCUCUGGAACCCUCACUGUACACAGUGAAAGCAGUCUUCAUUUUGGAUAACGAUGGCAAUAGACUUCUAUCAAAGUACUACGACAAAGAGCUCUACCCCUCCAUGAAGGAGCAGAAGAACUUUGAAAAGAACGUUUUCAACAAGACACACAAAGCGGACACAGAUGAGAUUGCCUUUGUGGAGGGGAUGACGAUCGUGUAUAAGUGCAGCAUUGACCUGUUCUUCUACGUGGUGGGCAGUUCACAGGAGAAUGAGCUCAUGCUCAUGGCUGUACUGAACUGUCUGUUUGAGUCCCUCGGUCAAAUCCUAAGGAAAAAUGUGGAGAGAAGGUGUCUAUUGGACAACAUGGACGGAGUCUUCUUAGUAGUGGACGAAAUUAUCGACGGGGGGGUGAUCUUGGAAAGCGACCCCCAACAGGUCAUCCAGAAGGUCAAUUACAGGCUGGAUGGUUCAGAGCAAGCCUACGGCUUCGACCUCUUUGAUUACAUCGUUGGUAACAUUGAUGGACAGACGGACAGAAGCCAGUGUGCAUAGCAACAGACUGCCCCAACAACCAGAGAGGGCGGAUGAGAACCCACUGUCAGAGCAGAGCGUGGCUCAGCACAUUACGGACAAAUUGGCUAUGACCUCCAAUAUAAUGCAGUCUGCCAAAGAACAAAUAAAGUGGUCAAUACUCAAAUGAUCUACACCGCCUGUCCAAAGGUGGAAUGAACAGUACGAAUGUAUGUGUAAAUAUUAAAGGUGUAUUUAGCGCUUUAUGCUUAAAUAGGCUAUAUUUAUGGUGACUAGUGGCAAGUAUGGGCAUUUUUCAUAUGAAGGCAAGCUGACAUUUUGUAUGUAUUAUUUUGGAAAUAAUCUAUUUAAUUUAUUUGAUUUGAAAUAAAUUGCAAGAUAUUAUGCUAGAUUAUAGCAUAUGAUUUUGUUAAUUUCCCUUAACCCACCAAAAUGCUCUAAAGAAAUGUUUUAACCAAACCAAGAAAUCAACUGCAUUUUGUUGUAAUGUAUGCAGACCUACACAACUAGGGAAACUGUUGCUUGGGCUUCAAUAAUUAUGACGUUAUGUUACAGAGAACUUGAAAUAUGAAGUUAUGUUAUACUACACUUUUAAAGCUUUGUAAGUUGAACAGAAAAAGGCAAUAGCCUGUGUAGUGUUACAGUAGUCCUGUAUCUAGUUGAAAGUCAGGUUACCCCAUGUUAAUUUAUGUUUUAGAAUUAUUUUGUGUUCAUACUAAAACGAAGUUGGCGUAGGUGGGUAGGCCUAUGUUUUUUCUAAAGCACUGAGAACACCAUUAGGACUAUAAGAAUAACAUAUUUUGUUACUAGUCUAUGAUGGACAAAUACACUUUUAAUAUUUCCAUGUUUAACGCCAACGAAGAAGAGGCUAAUCAUUUUUGCUUUGUUGAUUUCUAUUGACAGCUUAUUUUUUUCAAAUGUAAUCUGCCUGUUGUCAAGCUAAUUAAAAUGUAUAUUUUGUUUUGUCAAAA